UGAAACUAUGUACAUCUAUUAUGCAUCAAUGAAAAAAUUUUACAAGUCUGGAAAAACUAAAAGCUAUGUGUUUCCAUGUGUAAGUGUGUGUACCCGUACACACAGAGAAAGGAGGAUUUAAGGGGGAGUGGGUGGAACGCAGAAAAAAGUAAACAUAAGAAAGUGAAGAAAAUGGAGGUCUAUAAAAGUCCUUCCCCCUCACCCUCCCAGGCACUGAAUCAGUUUACCCUCACUUUCAGCUGGGGGCUGUGAUGGGGAAGAGGCGGAAAGGCGCUGGCCUCACCAUGCUGGCUGGCACUCUUGGCUCUUAGGGGCUGGGCUGGGGGUCUGUGGCAGCCACCUCUGAGACACAUACCUUCCAGGAAAGGAUGUGACAGUGUUUGCAGAGCUGAAGGGUAUCUCCAUACUGCUCUUUUCUUGGGUAACAUCGGACAAGUUUGAAAUACAUCUUCUUCCAAUCCAGCUGCCCUUUGUCUGACAGAAUUAAUCGUUUGC
rnacentral:lncRNA from 1 species